UUCGGGGGUCCAAGAGUUUUAUAAAACGUUCUUGGUGGAAAAAAAUGUGAAUGAAAGAUCCCACGGAAUUGAAU
rnacentral:tRNA from 1 species